rnacentral:rRNA from 1 species
AUUGAACGCUGGCGGCAGGCUUAACACAUGCAAGUCGAGCGGGGGAAGGUAGCUUGCUACCGGACCUAGCGGCGGACGGGUGAGUAAUGCUUAGGAAUCUGCCUAUUAGUGGGGGACAACAUCUCGAAAGGGAUGCUAAUACCGCAUACGUCCUACGGGAGAAAGCAGGGGAUCUUCGGACCUUGCGCUAAUAGAUGAGCCUAGGUCGGAUUAGCUAGUUGGUGGGGUAAAGGCCUACCAAGGCGACGAUCUGUAGCGGGUCUGAGAGGAUGAUCCGCCACACUGGGACUGGGACACGGCCCAGACUCCUACGGGAGGCAGCAGUGGGGAAUAUUGGACAAUGGGGGGAACCCUGAUCCAGCCAUGGCGCGUGUGUGAAGAAGGCCUUAUGGUUGUAAAGCACUUUAAGCGAGGAGGAGGCUACUUUAGUUAAUACCUAGAGAUAGUGGACGUUACUCGCAGAAUAAGCACCGGCUAACUCUGUGCCAGCCGCCGCAGUAA